GCUCCGGUGGUGUAGCCCGGCCAAUCAUACGGGACUCUCGAUUCCGUGACCCGGGUUCAAAUCCCGGCCGGAGCA
rnacentral:tRNA from 4 species